CACCGAGUCAGUUGAACUAUGGUUGAACAAACACGGUUGCUAACAUGGAGUAUUUUUCGGAAGAGUUCAAAGAAUUUAUUCAUAACUAUUUAGAAAUUGCUUUCGCGUUCUUGGCUGGUUCAGCCCUAACGUACUUUGUCAUGUGUAAGAAAUUAACUGGAAAAAGACGAAAAAAUGAUUUCCCUAAAGAUGUUGUGAUUGUUCAUGGUUUCGGGAGAGGACCCUACUGUCCAAGUCUAUGUGGUUUUUGUCUUAAAAUUGAAACUUACCUGAGGAUAAAUAAAAUACCAUAUAAGUGUGGUAAAGAUCUUAAGGAAGGCUAUUUACCUUGGACUGAAUAUAAUGGCGAGGUUGUCCAAUAUUUUCAAAGGCCGUUAUACACUAAUGUAGACAGAAUUUUAACAGAUGAAGAAAAAGCUAUAUGCAGAGCCUUUCAAAUAAUGAUAGAGGAAAAUCUUACAUGGUGUGUAGCACUAUCUAGAUGGGUUUAUGGCUAUACAGACAAUAGUUGGACAGGUGUCAAUUGGCUUCAACGUAAAUUGGCUGGACUAUCUGCUUCCAGGAAAGCCCGGGUGGUUGGUAUUGGUAGACAAACUCAGUCAGAAGUUGAACACAUUUUGGAAGAUAACAUGAAAGCCUUGUCUGAUUUUCUAAGUAAAAAAGAUUUUAUGAUGGGAAGUAAGCCUACAGAAAUAGAUUGUAUAGCAUUUGGUAUAUUAGCACAAAUUUUGUGGCACAGUCCUCAACAACCGUGUGAAAAAUGGAUAAAUGAAAAAUAUCUCAAUUUAAAGAACUACUGCCUUCGGAUGAAGGAAUUAUAUUGGAAAGAUUGGGAUGAAUGUAUUACACAUGGUGGUACAAGGGAGGCUACUCGUUAAUGGAUUAUGGAUACAGACCACAACAAUGUAGUCAUAGAUUGUUCUUGAGGGGAACUACGAUAUAAAGAUCAAGUCAUUGAAUCAGUGCCGGAUUAACCUUGUGGGGGGCCCAGGACAUACCAACUGUGCGGGGGCCCCAUUGUUGUUUGUUCAAAUUGGUCGUACUGACCGCGGAUCGUACUAGUAUGUACUCCACCCCCUUGAGUGCCUGGGGUGUUUUCCUCCAGGAAUUUUUUUGUUUAAAUUAGGAUUAAUUUCAGUGCAUCUGAGACAAUUUAGGCAGCGAUUUCAUUGACGUUUAGAAUUCGUUGACAAUUUGAUUAUUUUAAACAGACUCUUUAUCUUAUGAUGUUUUCAUUUACUUGUGGGGGGGGCCCUAAAUGUGGGGGGCCCGGGACAUUUGUCCCACUUUGCCCCCCCCCCCCCGAUCCGGUACUUCAUUGAAUACC